AGGACGAACGCUGGCGGCGUGCUUAACACAUGCAAGUCGAGCGGUAAGGCCUCCUUCGGGAGUACACGAGCGGCGAACGGGUGAGUAACACGUGAGCAAUCUGCCCUUCUCAUCGGAAUAAGCGUUGGAAACGACGUCUAAUGCCGAAUACGACCUCCUUUCGCAUGAUCGGAGGUGGAAAGCUCCGGCGGAGAAGGAUGAGCUCGCGGCCUAUCAGCUAGUUGGUGUGGGUAAUGGCCCACAAGGCGACGACGGGUAGCCGGCCUGAGAGGGUGACCGGCCACGACUGGGACUGGAGACACGGCCCAGACUCCACGGGAGCAGCAGUGGGAAUAGUGGACAAUGGGACAAAGCCUGAUCCAGCAACGCGCGUGAGGAUGACGGCCUUAGGGUGUAAACCUCGUUUACAGC
rnacentral:rRNA from 1 species